CACUUACCUGGCUAAUGUGGUCAAUCUAUUUUUUGAUUAGGCCACUUACUAAUUCAAGUUCACCCAUACUAUCUAGGUUAGUCAGUCAAACUAAUUAAGAUGUCCUUAGACCAGCUUAGUCUCUUAUCCUCUUCGAAGACUUAGUGAAGUCAGCAGGAGAAUUUUCUAAUUAUUGGUUGAUUUCUUGGUUCUUUUGCAUAUAAAUGAUCAUCAUCAUGUCUUAGACCCUCUAAAUUAUUAGAUCCUUAAAAUGACAUAGUUGUAAC
rnacentral:lncRNA from 1 species